rnacentral:pre_miRNA from 1 species
UUGGUACACCCUCCGUCCCAAAAUUCUUGUCUUAGAUUCGUCUAGAUACGGAUGUAUCUAAUACUAAAACAUGACUUGAUACAUCCGUAUUUAGACAGAUCUAAGACAAGAAUUUUGGGACAGAGGGAGUACUUU